GCGUCACAAGGUCACGUACCACCACUACCACAUUUUUUUGAUACCCAGGUUCGACAGUUGGCUUCUGUAUGCCAACAGGCCAGACUUGUUAAGCAAACCAAGGGGUCAAGUGCACAACAGUUACAGGUUGUGCUCUGCGCACUUCCUAGAAGCAGAUUAUAUGGAUCCAGCUCGCACUCGACUGAAGAAGUCUGCUAUACCUAGAGUCCCAGUGCACAAAGAUGGACUCAAGUUUCUUGCGUCACAGGAGGUCUUCCUGAACAAUGUCAAGACCACGACUACGCAAGCCCGCUUCAAGAGGCAACCUUGCAUCUUGACACAGGAGCAUGGCAUGACCCUACAGCACAGUCGUCAAGACUUGCCUUGCUAGACCAUUCGGUGGAAACUUCAAUAUACCAUAAGCCUGGGCGA